GUGGGAGCGAGCUUGCUCGCGAUGGCAGUGUGUCAAUCAACUCAAGUGCCGAAUGAGACAUUGCAAUCGCGAGCAAGCUCGCUCCUAC
rnacentral:misc_RNA from 1 species